rnacentral:rRNA from 1 species
AACAAACGCUGGCGGCGUGCAUAACACAUGCAAGUUUAACGGGAAUGUCGGCUUCGGCUGACUAGUACCGUGGCGAACGGGUGAGUAACACGUGGGUAAUCUAACCUCGAGUUUGGGAUAACCUUGCGAAAGCGGGGCUAAUACCGAAUAAGACCACGCUCUGUCCGCAGAGCGCGGUAAAAGGCGGCCUCUUCUUGAAAGCUGUCACUUGAGGAUGAGCCCGCGGCCUAUUAGCUAGUUGGUGGGGUAAUGGCCUACCAAGGCGACGAUGGGUAGCCGGCCGGAGAGGGUGUACGGCCACACUGGCACUGAGAGACGGGCCAGACUCCUACGGGAGGCAGCAGUGGGGAAUUUUGCGCAAUGGGGGAAACCCUGACGCAGCAACGCCGCGUGAGUGAUGAAGGCCUUCGGGUCGUAAAGCUCUUUUAGUGGGGAAGAAUCCCGCCUGGGUUAAUACCUCGGGUGUCUGACGGUACCCACAGAAAAAGUUCCGGCUAACUACGUGCCAGCCGCCGCGGUAAGAC